ensembl:snoRNA
AGAGCUCAUUUGUGUUUGUUCAACUUGUGGACAGACUUACAGAUAAGUGCGAAAAGUAAAUCCUCUUUUGCAACCCAGAAUUUAUUGUUCAGUAUGGGUUUUGAUGUGUAUAAGAAGGAAUGUG